GAGACAGGUGCUGCAUGGCUGUCGUCAGCUCGUGCCGUGAGGUGUGGGUUAAGUCCCGCAACGAGCGCAACCCUAUUGCCAGUUGCUACCAGGUAAUGCUGGGCACUCUGGUGAGACUGCCCGGUUAACGGGGAGGAAGGUGGGGACGACGUCAAGUCAUCAUGGCCCUUACGCCUAGGGCUACACACGUACUACAAUGGCGCAUACAAAGGGCGAGCGAUACCGCGAGGUGGAGCCAAUCCCAAAAAGUGCGUCCCAGUCCGGAUUGCAGUCUGCAACUCGACUGCAUGAAGUUGGAAUCGCUAGUAAUUCGAGAUCAGCAUGCUCGGGUGAAUGCGUUCCCGGGCCUU
rnacentral:rRNA from 1 species